GACGAACCGAGCGAACGUUGUUCGGAAUCACUGGGCUUAAAGGGCGCGUAGGCGGGUGCUCAAGUCCGGGGUGAAAUCCUCCAGCUCAACUGGAGAACUGCCUCGGAUACUGGGUGCCUCGAGUGUGGUAGGGGUGUGCGGAACUAUCGGUGGAGCGGUGAAAUGCGUUGAUAUCGAUAGGAACUCCGGUGGCGAAGGCGGCACACUGGACCACAACUGACGCUGAGGCGCGAAAUCCAGGUGAGCAAACAGG
rnacentral:rRNA from 1 species